rnacentral:rRNA from 1 species
CAGCCGCCGCGGUAACACGGAGGAUCCAAGCGUUAUCCGGAAUCAUUGGGUUUAAAGGGUCCGUAGGCGGUCUUGUAAGUCAGUGGUGAAAGCCCAUCGCUCAACGGUGGAACGGCCAUUGAUACUGCAGGACUUGAAUUAUUGGGAAGUAACUAGAAUAUGUAGUGUAGCGGUGAAAUGCUUAGAGAUUACAUGGAAUACCAAUUGCGAAGGCAGGUUACUACCAAUUGAUUGACGCUGAUGGACGAAAGCGUGGGUAGCGAACAGGAUUAGAUACCCCUGUAGUCCCUGUCUCUUAUAC